AGGAGGCCUCCCGGUAAGACAUCAGCAAACUCUCUUAACUCUCUUAACUAGCAGGACCAUGUAUAUGAGAAAGCUGAUUAUACAAGGCAAAGGUUUAACUAAUAAACGAAUGGGUGAGGGAAAAAUUAACAGCCUCACUCAGCCUACGCCCUCUGGGACAGAAUACAGUCCAGUGGUAAGGAAAGGUGCUUCAGGUCAUAGAGAGUAGGUACUUGCUUGCAGUGCAGGAGCCACAUUGCUGUCAGUGUUCCCUGGGGUUUCACGGCCCUUUUUGUAUCACACAGCUAGGUUACAAUGCUGCCACCCAUCCCAUGUGUUCCCUAUUAUGGGUUAAUAAGUAUAUAGGGGUGCAUAUAAAAAAUACCCCUUUCUGUCUCAUUGGAGAUAUCUUUGCCAGAAGCUCAAGGAAGCAAGGCGAAUAGUCAGUGUAGGGCCCGUCUAGGGGGGUCUGCCUUGACGUUGGCAGGCGGGCAUUCCCUCCAGUGGCCAUUGACUAACUAAAUGACCUCCAUUUGUUUAAAUAUACAUAGGGAUUAAGAAGAGAGCGCAGGUAACUUUUUUCCUUUGAUUUUUACUAUAAGUAUUGGAGCUGAUGUGUACUUUGGUCGUUCAUGUGACCCAGGAGUGAUGAGAGUGAGCACAGGACUUCUCUUUUUGUAUUUGUAUUCACUUUUUGUAUCACACAGCUAGGUUACAAUGUUGCUGCCCAUCCCAUGUGUUCCUUAUUAAGGGUUAAUAAGUAUAUAGGGGUGUGUAUAAAAAUAUCCCUUUCUGUCUCAUUAGAGAUAUCUUUGCCAGAAGCUCAAGGAAGCAAGGUGAAGGGUCAGAGUAGGACCCGUCUAGGGGGGUCUGCCUUGACGUUGGCAGACGUGCAUUCCCUCUGGAGUAACUAAAUGACCUCCAUUUGUUUAAAUAUAAGCAGGGAUUUAGGAAAGAGUGCAGGUAACUUCUUUCUUUGGUUUUUACUAUAUGUAUUGGAGCUGAUGUGUACUGUGGUCAUUGCUCUGCCCAGAAGUGAUGAGUGAACGCAGGACAUUUCUUUUUGUAGUUCGAUACUGAGGUUAUACUAGAGCAAGAAACGUCCCAUAUCAUUCCCCCAGACAGUAUCAUUGCGUCCACUGUCCUUUCGUUGUCCUCUCCACUGCUUGGCUCCAUCGUGGAGGCUCAGUCUCAGACGGCCUGCGGUAAACCUCAGGACAAAUUGUUUGUUCCAUUGGGGGAAAGGGUUAAUAUUAUAAAGGUGUUUCACGACAAUGUGUCUGCUGGUCACCCAGGUAUUAAUAAGUCCACUUCUGCUAUCAUGAGGUCAUUCUGGUGGGAUUCCCUCAGGAACGAUGUUAAGGAGUAUGUGCAGGCUUGUUCUGUUUGUGCAGUUUCCAAAGUGCCUCAUAAACUCCCUUGUGACUUGUUGCAACCUCUUCCUAUUCCUGAGGUCCCAUGGUCCCACUUGUCCAUGGACUUCAUUGUUGAACUUCCUAAUUCUAAUGGUUAUACCACUAUUCUCAUGGUUGUGGCUCAUUUUAUUCCUCUGAAGAAAUUGCCGUCGUCUCAAGACCUGGUACUAAUCUUUAUACGAGAAAUUGUCCGUCUGCUUGGCAUUCCUCACAAUAUAGUAUCUGAUAGAGGUUCUCAGUUCGUGUCCCGGUUUUGGAGGGCCUUCAAUAAACAAUUAGGGAUUGAAUUGUCUUUUUCAUCCUCUUACCACCCCCAGACCAAUGGUACAGCUGAGAGGGCUAACCAGUCCUUGGAAUUAUAUUUGCGAUGUUUUGUUAAUAGUACUCAAAACAAAUGGUCCCAAUUACUACCAUUGGCCGAGUUUGCUAGGAACAAUGCUUUCUGGGCAUUUUUUGUUAAUAACGGCCGGCAUCCUACUGUCCUACCGGCUGUUUUUUCUGAUAUGGCUAUUCCUGCUUUGGAUGACUGUCUGGCUUCCAUCCGUGAUACCUGGGUUAAAGUUCAAUCUGCUCUGGGUACUGCUGAUACACGUAGAGGUGCCAACCCUGUUUACCAAGUGGGUGAGAGGGUUUGGUUAUCUUCUCGUAACAUCAAGCUCAAAGUCCCUAGCAUGAAAUUUGCUCCUAGGUUCCUUGGGCCUUCUCUUUUCUUUUGUAGGCUCGAUACUGUUGUGUACUCUCUGGCCCUUCCGGCCUCCUUGAAAAUUCCUAAUACCUUUCAUGUGUCUUUACUCAAACCUCUUGUUUGCAAUAAAAUAUACUGGCUCAAGUGUCCCUCCUCCUCCCUUAGUUGUUUCUAAACAGGAAGAGUAUGAGGUCUCCAUAAUUGAUUCCAUGUUUUCUCGGGGGACUUUACAGUACUUGGUGGAUUGGAAAGGUUAUGGACCAGCAGAUCGUUCCUGGGUUCCGGCGUCUGAUAUACAUGCUGGCUGCAAGAUUCAAUAUUUUCAUGCCAAGUUUCCUCUCAAGCCUGGUCCUGCCCGCCCAGUGGGCGUUCUUCAGGUGAGGGGUAAUGUCACGUAUUCAUCUGGACAUAAAAAUGUGAUUAAUGGCAUUUACUGUCCUGAUAGGAAAAAUUGUGCCGAGCAGCAAUCAGUCCACAGGAGGGUUUGUGCUGAGCAGCAAUGAAUCCACAGGAGGGUUUGUGCUGAGCAGCAAUCAUGCAAAUAGGAACCUGGUAACUGCUUUUGGGGUCAAAGGCCAGUUACAACCAAUCAGAUCCACAGGCGGGGUAUUUAAGCCCAGUUCUCCUCUUGCUCUGUGCCCUGUCGUGGUUUCACUUGUGGUUGUCCGAGAGUGCGUUAUUGAUUCUGUUUUUUCUGGUUAUUUGACUUUGGCAUUGAUAGUGACUUCCCUGUUUUCUGACAUCCCUGACCCCUGGCUUUUCCUUAUCGUUGUGUCUCUUUCUGUAUCCCUUGACCUCGGGUAUUUCUGACUAUUCUUGGGUACAUUAGUCCGGCCAUUCUAAGGUCCGGUACGUUACCUAUCAGUCCUCUGUGUUACACAAUUCUACGUACUGGAUCAUACUUUAAUCCUGACACUCUCCCACCCAUGCACAGCCAGUGUGUGUGUCUCUCUCUCCUACCCACGCACAGCCAGUGUGUGUCUUUCUCUCCCACCCACAGCCAGUGUGUCUCUCUCUCUCCCAGCCACGCACAGUCAGUGUGUCUUUCUCUCCCUCCCACGCACAGCCAGUGUGUGUGUCUCUGUCUCCCACCCACGCACAGCCAGUGUGUGUGUG